rnacentral:lncRNA from 1 species
CCAGGCGUGCACCCCUUAAAGGAUAAGAUAUGGAGGUUGCCCAUUUGAAUCCACAUUUGAAUUUGAAAAUUUCAAAUUCAAAUAAGGGACGAGAUCCAAUUUGAUUUCAAAUUGGUUGUUAUGCAUGUCCAAAAAGAAUGAUCUAAAGAGGUGGGCAUUUGCCCUCUUUUAUUUUCGUUCGAGGAAUUCUGAGGGAUGUCACCCCUUGUGGAUUAGGAAGUUAGGAGAGAGAGUUGGAUGCCCCAUUUGAAAUCUGAUUUCGAAUCUGUGCCGCCCCAAGUUGGUUAGGGUUUUGGGUCUAUAAAUAGAUCCCUUGUCAAAGGUCUUUGCAUCGAAAAUAAUAGACUCGAAACCUUACCAUUCUUCCACCUCUAUUACCCUCCAAUCUCACAUGCCUAAUAGUUAGGUUGCUCUCAUCUUCUAUGCCCAAAGGUGUUGGGCUGAUCCUUGAAGUGCUUAAAGGAGUUCAGGCACCAUCCA